UGGGGCACGAUGAGGAUCCAAUUUAGCUAAUGUAUCUCUGAGACCGAAGGUCAAUGACUCUUAUGUUCUUUUCAUUCCGAGUACCUU